rnacentral:rRNA from 1 species
UACGAAGGGGGCUAGCGUUGUUCGGAAUGACUGGGCGUAAAGGGCGCGUAGGCGGCGAUCUUAGUCAGGCGUGAAAGCCCCGGGCUUAACCUGGGAACUGCGCUUGAUACUGGGUUGCUAGAGUGCGGGAGAGGAUGGUGGAAUUCCCAGUGUAGAGGUGAAAUUCGUAGAUAUUGGGAAGAACACCGGUGGCGAAGGCGGCCAUCUGGACCGUUACUGACGCUGAGGCGCGAAAGCGUGGGGAGCAAACAGG